GGAAAGGUGGCCAUUGGUAGGGCGGGUCGUUUGCUAAACGAUAUAUGUAUAUAUCUAAGAGUUCGAAUCUCUUCUUUUCCG
rfam:Penicillium marneffei ATCC 18224 scf_1107713384299 genomic scaffold, whole genome shotgun sequence.